AGAGUUUGAUCCUGGCUCAGAACGAACGCUGGCGGCGCGUCUUAAGCAUGCAAGUCGAACGGCAAGAAGAGGUUUACUUCUUCCUAGAGUGGCGGACUGGUGAGUAACACGUGGACGACGUACCCUCCUGACGGGGACAGCCGGUAGAAAUACCGGAUAAUACCGGAUAAUCUCUUUUGGGGUAAAGACGAAAGAGGAAAGCGGCUUCGGCCGCGCAGAAGGAACGGUCCGCGUCCUAUCAGCUAGUCGGCAGGGUAAAGGCCUGCCGAGGCGACGACGGGUAUCCGGCCUGAGAGGGUGAACGGACACAUUGGGACUGAGAUACGGCCCAGACUCCUACGGGAGGCAGCAGCUAAGAAUAUUCCGCAAUGGACGAAAGUCUGACGGAGCGACGCCGCGUGGAUGAAGAAGGCUGAAAAGUUGUAAAAUCCUUUUGUUGAUGAAGAAUAAGGGGAAGAGGGAAUGCUUCUCUGAUGACGGUAAUCAGCGAAUAAGCCCCGGCUAAUUACGUGCCAGCAGCCGCGGUAACACGUAAGGGGCGAGCGUUGUUCGGAAUUAUUGGGCGUAAAGGGCAUGUAGGCGGUUAUGUAAGCCUGAUGUGAAAUCCUAGAGCUUAACUCUAGAAUAGCAUUGGGUACUGUAUAACUUGAAUUACGGAAGGGAAACUGGAAUUCCAAGUGUAGGGGUGGAAUCUGUAGAUAUUUGGAAGAACACCGGUGGCGAAGGCGGGUUUCUGGCCGAUGAUUGACGCUGAUAUACGAAGGUGCGGGGAGCAAACAGGAUUAGAUACCCUGGUAGUCCGCACAGUAAACGAUGUACACUAGGUGUUGGGGUAAGACUCAGUGCCGGAGCAAACGCAAUAAGUGUAC
rnacentral:rRNA from 1 species